CGGAUUUACUGGGCGUAAAGCGCGUGUAGGCGGCUGCUUAAGUCGGACGUGAAAGCUCCUGGCUCAACUAGGAGAGGCCGUUCGAAACUAGGUAGCUUGAGGAUGGUAGAGGAGAGUGGAAUUCCCGGUGUAGUGGUGAAAUGCGUAGAUAUCGGGAGGAACACCAGUGGCGAAGGCGGCUCUCUGGGCCAUUCCUGACGCUGAGAUGCGAAAGCUAGGGGAGAGAACGGGAUUAGAAACCCCGGUAUUCCUAGCCGUAAACGAUGUCAACUAGGUGUAGGAGGUCAUUGACCCCUCCUGUGCUGUAGCUAACGCGUUAAGUUGACCGCCUGGGGACUACGGCCGCAAGGCUAAAACUCAAAGGAAUUGACGGGGACCCGCACAAGCAGCGGAGCGUGUGGUUUAAUUCGAGGCUACGCGAAGAACCUUACCAGGGCUUGACAUAUGCGUGGUAGGAAAUCGAAAGAGGACCGACCCUUCGGGGAGCGCAUACAGGUGCUGCAUGGCUGUCGUCAGCUCGUGCCGCGAGGUGUUAGGUUAAGUCCUGUAACGAGCGCAACCCUCGUCGUUAGUUACAUGUGUCUAGCGAGACUGCCGGUGAUAAGCCGGAGGAAGGUGAGGAUGACGUCAAGUCAGCAUGGCCUUUAUGUCCUGGGCUACACACACGCUACAAUGGCCAGUACAAUGGGUAGCCAAACCGCGAGGUGGAGCCAAUCCCGUAAAAGCUGGUCUCAGUUCGGAUUGCAGUCUGCAA
rnacentral:rRNA from 1 species